UACGUAGGGCGCAAGCGUUAUCCGGAAUUAUUGGGCGUAAAGAGCUCGUAGGCGGUUUGUCGCGUCUGCCGUGAAAGUCCGGGGCUCAACUCCGGAUCUGCGGUGGGUACGGGCAGACUAGAGUGAUGUAGGGGAGACUGGAAUUCCUGGUGUAGCGGUGAAAUGCGCAGAUAUCAGGAGGAACACCGAUGGCGAAGGCAGGUCUCUGGGCAUCAACUGACGCUGAGGAGCGAAAGCAUGGGGAGCGAACAGG
rnacentral:rRNA from 1 species